CCAAACAGUAUGAGGUUGUUUUUCUCCUGCAGUCUUAAAGAAUACAGCUUGAUUGUGCCUGUAGAGAAACAUUUCAAUUCAACGCAAGUAUCUGACGGGUUUAGAAAAAGUAAGACUACUUUUUUUUGAAGAUGAAGGAGACUGUGAAGACUUAUUUAUUCUUUUUGCUGUUUGAAAAAUGCACCACUCAUACCAAACAGACAGAAACUAUCUAUUCAUUUCAAUUUUAUUUGCAUUUUACAACUGAGAACAAUGUAUUCUGUGAUGUACAGAACAUAUUUCCUAUGAAUUUCAUCUACAUGUACAGAUAAAUAAUAUCUUGGAUUUUUUUUUCUGUUUUGAGCACUGCUCAGAACAUAAUAAAAGUGUAUAUGAAAAAGUAUUGUUGCAGUAUGUCAAGAGUAUUAUGUAAAUGAGGAGCUGCAGAAGAAAACAUGACAGUGAAGAGGCGUUGGCAGUAAGUAUUAAGAGAGGCGGUGUGUUGUGUUUGUGCUUUCAGAUAAUGCAGCCAUUAUCAGAUCCAGAGAUGUAUUAGAGCCAUCAGAAAAGAAAAGACAGAGGAAUAAAGAAAAAAGUAAGAGAGGAAGAUGAAGAGAGGGCGGCGAUCUGCAGUGGGCCGCUGAGGAAGCUCCAGGGUCGGUUUGGAAGCACAGCGAGAAGCCGCCCUCUCAACAAGGUUUCGGAUUGAUUGCUGUGUUAUCAUACGGCCAGCUGAAGCCAACUAAAAGGAAACACCACUCCAGUAAGAAAUAACUGCUCUAUUCAAACAAGAGCCUUUUCACAGUUGGACCAUUUGACUUGGGUCUGAACCCAAAAUCAUUUCAGGGUGUUUUUCACCCUCACAGGGUUGCUUUCACUCACAUGAAAAUUCUACCAAACCUCAAAUUGUUUGCGAUUGGCAGCAUUACUCUUUG